CAAUAACAGGGUUAGUGAACAGGGACAAGAGCCACGGGAAUAAAC
rnacentral:rRNA from 1 species